CAGUCAACCAAUGGCGAGCAACCCGGAAGUACGGCCAUUAGCACGAGCGUUGGUUAACACAGCUGCGGUGACAAGUUACUCUUUCGACGAAUUCACGCAGGAAGAAAGAAAAUGGAGGCCUGUGACUCUCCAUUUCGUGCUCCCUCAUCUUCUCCAUCCCUGUUUAGACCGGUCAGAGCAACCUAGCGGUGUUAACAACUGACCGGUUCCUAAACAGCCGAUAUAAUCACAUAAUGUCUUCUACACCUGGAAGAAAGAGAAGACAUAUGAACAUUGUGGGGAGGCGGGGCCGGUGGACCGACAGCGAGGUGUUCUCCGCCGGAGUCCACUCCAAGAUGGCGGCGAGGAGGCGUGGCCGGCAGUCCAACAGGGAGGCAGGGCACACCAGAGCCCGCUCCAAGAUGGCGGCGAGGAGGAGGGGACGACGAGCAAGCGGCGAGACGGUGCGCGCCGAGAGCGACGCCGCAAUUGUGACCAUGUGCGGGGAUCGCGCACCUGGUCACAAUCAGCUAAUCCCCUCGCAGUGUCUAAAAGGAUAACAGCCGAGAACGACGGGGCAGAAGGAGGUGGAGAGCCAGUGGGGCAUGCAGAGAGGAGACGGAGAGAAGAGGCAAGACACGCAGCAACGCAUGCAGCGAGAGACAGACGGCGAGAGCAAACGAGAGCAAGACGCCGACAACGAAGACUAGGCCGGCUGAAAAGCAGGCGGCGGAGCGAGCAGCAGGUGGAGCCGGAGCUGAAAAGCAAUGCGCAAAAGACUUUUCUUGUUGCAAAAUAAAGAAGUCAAAACCUGCCCGCAACAUGUCCUUCCUUGCUGGUCCUGAGAACCCGCACGACAGUGAGAGUCGGUCACAAACAUAUGUUACCUUUGCAACAGUAGACAACAGGACACAUUGUAAACCCUGUGGCUCGAUUUUCUCCGCUAAAAAUACAACCAACUUGAAGCACCAUCUGCAGGCUAAUCAUCAGGACAUCUACGCAACAGUAAAUAGGCCUACACUAAUAUUUCCAAAUGACUCAUGUACUGAAUUACUCUCGCUAUUAGUGUACCAGCAGAAUGGAAAACAAGUUGACUU